rnacentral:rRNA from 1 species
GAGUUMMGAKCAUGGCUCAGGAUAAACGCUGGCGGCGUGCUUCAGGCAUGCAAGUCGAACGGCACCUUCGGGUGCAGUGGCGGACGGGUGAGUAACACGUAAGUAACCUGCCCAAAAGUGGGGAAUAACUAGCCGAAAGGGKWRSYUAWWMCCGCAUGUGAUGGCCGCUCUCUGGGGUGGUCAUGAAAGGCCUUCGGGUCGCUUYYGGAGGGGCUUGCGGCCGWUUAGCUAGUUGGUGGGGUAACGGCCUACCAAGGCUGCGAUCGGUAGCYGGUCUGAGAGGACGGACAGCCACACGGGGACUGAGAUACGGCCCCGACUCCUACGGGAGGCAGCAGCUAGGAAUCUUGGGAAUGGGCGAAAGCCUGACCCAGCAACGCCGCGUGGGCGAUGAAGGCCUUCGGGUCGUAAAGCYCUUUUYGCAGGGGACGAUGAUGACGGUACCCUGCGAAUAAGCCACGGCUAACUACGUGCCAGCCGCCGCGGUAAUUCAA